GAUGAAGAACGCAGCGAAAUGCGAUAAGUAAUGUGAAUUGCAGAAUUCAGUGAAUCAUCGAAUCUUUGAACGCACAUUGCGGCCAUAGGUAUUCCUUUGGCCAUGCCUGUUCGAGCGUCAUUUACACCCUCAAGCCUAGCUUGGUGUUGGGCGUCUGUCCCGCCGUUUUCGCGCGCGGACUCGCCUCAAAGUCAUUGGCGGCGGUCGUGUCGGCCCCCUCGCGCAGCACAUUUGCGCUUCUCGGAGGCCCGGCGGAUCCGCGCUCCAGCAAGACCUUUCACGACUUGACCUCGGAUCAGGUAGGGAUACCCGCUGAACUUAAGCAUAUCAAUAAGCGGAGGA
rnacentral:misc_RNA from 1 species